UGGGGAAUAUUGGACAAUGGGGGCAACCCUGAUCCAGCAAUGCCGCGUGUGUGAAGAAGGCCUGAGGGUUGUAAAGCACUUUUGUAGAGGAGGAUGGUAGACCAGGUUAAGAGCUAGGUUUAUUGACGUUACUCUAAGAAUAAGCACCGGCUAACUCCGUGCCAGCAGCCGCGGUAAUACGGAGGGUGCAAGCGUUAAUCGGAAUUACUGGGCGUAAAGGGUGCGUAGGCGGUUGAGUAAGUUAUCUGUGAAAUCCCUGGGCUUAACCUGGGUAGGAAAGAUAAUACUGCUUGACUAGAGUGUGGUAGAGGAUAGUGGAAUUUCCGGUGUAGCGGUGAAAUGCGUAGAGAUCGGAAGGAACACCAGUGGCGAAGGCGGCUAUCUGGACCAACACUGACGCUGAGGCACGAAAGCGUGGGGAGCAAACAGG
rnacentral:rRNA from 1 species